UUAGCAUCUACAUGAGCUAUAUAUUUAGCAAAUACUGAACAAUUAUUACAGUUUCGAAAAUUUUAUCCUGAUGGAUUUUAAUUGUCUAAUCAAUAGCCUCAACUCACCAUGCCCUACACACCUACCAGCCACCCUACAUGCCCCUAAUUUCAGCUCCUACCAUACUUGGCACUUGCCAGAGUCCAUCUCUGCUAAUUCAAUACAACCAUGUUUCUCUUCACUCAUUCCACAUUUUAUUUUCGCAAGGCUUGAGCAAGGAAGUUCUCUCUAGUUCACUCUUACCACAAGCAGCAGUUGGCCAAUCUUUCGUGUCCCACCAGAACGAAGAACCAGCAACUUCCUCUAAAGGUUGAUGACUGGUGAUGACGGGGCAGAGCUGAGGCUAGGGUUCAACUUCGUGUUUUGACUUCCACUGUAGUGCUAGACUUUAUUUGGCUUUCGUUUCCUUGACUUAAGACCUUUAUGCUACGACUCUACAUGAACCUUUUGAUGAGCCUAGACUCUUGAAUUUCAAGUAUGUUGAUUA